UGGGGUCAAUAAAUUUUGCUUAGUCAUUGUUCAUUAUACCAAUGAGUUGGAUGGUUCCUGUUCGUCUCCAAAGAUUCUGGAGGCAGCCAAGUAAGGUGCAAUAGCUAAUGGCUUUGCUCAAGAAUCAUAUAAUCACACGGUUCUUCAUGGAUUGAGAAAUGUAGUUAUGAACUCUGUCAGAGAAUGACAUUGUAGGAAGACCAUUUUCCAAAUUGAUGAUCACGUCCUCAUCCUUAAUCUCAAGAUCUUUUAUUUUCUUCUCAGAAUACUUAGUGUUUGUAAGUUUGUUUCGAAAUGAGAGUCUUUCAUG
rnacentral:lncRNA from 1 species